GUCUGCGUAGCUCAGCUGGAUAGAGCAGCCGCCUCCUAAGCGGCAGGUCAGGUGUUCGAAUCACCCCGCGGACGGCA
rnacentral:tRNA from 1 species